GCCACUGUGGUGUAGUGGUUUGAGUGCUGGAUUAAGACUCUAGAGAUCAGGGUUCAGUUCCCAGCUCAGUCA